AGUGAACGCUGGCGGUAGGCCUAACACAUGCAAGUCGAACGGCAGCACAGGAGAGCUUGCUCUCUGGGUGGCGAGUGGCGGACGGGUGAGGAAUACAUCGGAAUCUACCUUUUCGUGGGGGAUAACGUAGGGAAACUUACGCUAAUACCGCAUACGACCUACGGGUGAAAGUGGGGGACCGCAAGGCCUCACGCGAUUAGAUGACCCGAUGUCCGAUUAGCUAGUUGGCGGGGUAAUGGCCCACCAAGGCGACGAUCGGUAGCUGGUCUGAGAGGAUGAUCAGCCACACUGGAACUGAGACACGGUCCAGACUCCUACGGGAGGCAGCAGUGGGGAAUAUUGGACAAUGGGCGCAAGCCUGAUCCAGCCAUACCGCGUGGGUGAAGAAGGCCUUCGGGUUGCAAAGCCCUUUUGGUGGGAAAGAAAUCCUGUCGAUUAAUACUCGGUGGGGAUGACGGUACCCAAAGAAUAAGCACCGGCUAACUUCGUGCCAGCCGCCGCGGUAAUAC
rnacentral:rRNA from 1 species